rnacentral:rRNA from 1 species
CAGUAGCCACGGUAAAACGUAGGUGGCAAGCGUUGUCCGGAAUUAUUGGGCGUAAAGCGCGCGCAGGCGGAUAGGUCAGUCUGUCUUAAAAGUUCGGGGCUUAACCCCGUGAUGGGAUGGAAACUGCCAAUCUAGAGUAUCGGAGAGGAAAGUGGAAUUCCUAGUGUAGCGGUGAAAUGCGUAGAUAUUAGGAAGAACACCAGUGGCGAAGGCGACUUUCUGGACGAAAACUGACGCUGAGGCGCGAAAGCCAGGGGAGCGAACGGGAUUAGAUACCCCCGUAGUCCCUGUCUCUUAUACC